AUAAAGUUUUAUUCUUGCUUAAAAAUUUAUUAUUAAUUUAUUUUACAUGUAAAUUUUUGUGUGAAUUGUAUUGUAUUUUAAAAAUACAUUAUUUUUAUUAUAUUCGCAGUAAUUAAUAUUAUAAAUUUUAAAGAAAUUUAGAAAUAGUAAUUUUAUUUAGUAUUAACAAAUUUUGUGCCAGCAGUUGCGGUUAUACAAAAGAUAUAAAUAAAUUUUAUUAGAUGUAGUUAAAUGUAGUUAAAAAUUAAAUUAAAAGUAAAUUUAUUAGGUGAAAUUUUAAAUUUAUAAUAAUUUAAUUAAUAAAAAAUAAUUGAAGCUAAGAAAUUUUAAUUAUAAACUAGGAUUAGAUACCCUAUUAUUUAAAAUAUAAUUAUAAAGUCUUGAGUAGUAAUAGUUAUGGUCUUGAAACUUAAAGAAUUUGGCGGUAUUUUAGUCUAUUCAGAGGAACCUGUCCUAUAAUCGAUAGUCCACGUUGAAUCUUACUUAAAUUUGUUUAUCAAUUUGUAUAUCGCCGUUAUCAGAAUAUUUUAUAAGAAUAAUAAUUUUCUAAAUUUUUAAUUAAAUAAUGAUGUCAGGUCAAGGUGCAGUUUAUGUUUAAGUAGAGAUGGGUUACAAUAAAAUUAUUUAUUACGGAAAUGGAAUUGAAAUACUUCAUGGAAGGUGGAUUUGAUAGUAAAAUUAUAAAUAUAAUUAAUUUGAUUAUAGCUCUAAAAUAUGCACAUAUCGCCCGUCGCUCUUAUUAUUAAGAUAAGAUAAGUCGUAACAUAGUAGAUGUACUGGAAAGUGUAUCUAGAAUGA
rnacentral:ncRNA from 1 species